rnacentral:tRNA from 1 species
GGAGGGCGCUUACCACUUUGUGAUUCAUGACUGGGGUGAAGUCGUAACAAGGUAACCGUAGGGGAACCUGCGGUUGGAUCACCUCCUUACCUUAAAGAAGCGUUCUUUGCAGUGCUCACACAGAUUGUCUGAUAGAAAGUGAAAAGCAAGGCGUCUUGCGAAGCAGACUGAUACGUCCCCUUCGUCUAGAGGCCCAGGACACCGCCCUUUCACGGCGGUAACAGGGGUUCGAAUCCCCUAGGGGACGCCACUUGCUGGUUUGUGAGUGAAAGUCACCUGCCUUAAUAUCUCAAAACUCAUCUUCGGGUGAUGUUUGAGAUAUUUGCUCUUUAAAAAUCUGGAUCAAGCUGAAAAUUGAAACACUGAACAACGAAAGUUGUUCGUGAGUCUCUCAAAUUUUCGCAACACGAUGAUGAAUCGUAAG